ACGCUGGCGGCGUGCCUAACACAUGCAAGUCGAACGAAGCUUGACGAACGAUUCUUCGGAUGAAUUCUGAUAUGACUGAGUGGCGGACGGGUGAGUAACGCGUGAGCAACCUGCCCUUCAGAGGGGGAUAGUGUCUGGAAACGGACAGUAAUACCGCAUAAUGUACAUUGAUGGCCUCUACCUGUAAGCUAUCGCCUGAAGAGGGGUUUGCGUCUGAUUAGCUGGUUGGAGGGGUAACGGCCCACCAAGGCGACGAUCAGUAGCCGGUCUGAGAGGAUGAACGGCCACACUGGAACUGAGACACGGUCCAGACUCCUACGGGAGGCAGCAGUGGGGAAUCUUCCGCAAUGGGCGAAAGCCUGACGGAGCAACGCCGCGUGAGUGAUGACGGCCUUCGGGUUGUAAAACUCUGUGAUCCGGGACGAAAAGGCAGAGUGCGAAGAACAAACUGCAUUGACGGUACCGGAAAAGCAAGCCACGGCUAACUACGUG
rnacentral:rRNA from 1 species